GACCUGAUGCAGCCAUGCCGCGUGUGUGAAGAAGGCCUUCGGGUUGUAAAGCACUUUCAGUUGUGAGGAAAAGUUAGUAGUUAAUACCUGCUAGCCGUGACGUUAACAACAGAAGAAGCACCGGCUAACUCCGUGCCAGCAGCCGCGGUAAUACGGAGGGUGCGAGCGUUAAUCGGAAUUACUGGGCGUAAAGCGCACGCAGGCGGUUUGUUAAGCUAGAUGUGAAAGCCCCGGGCUCAACCUGGGAUGGUCAUUUAGAACUGGCAGACUAGAGUCUUGGAGAGGGGAGUGGAAUUCCAGGUGUAGCGGUGAAAUGCGUAGAUAUCUGGAGGAACAUCAGUGGCGAAGGCGACUCCCUGGCCAAAGACUGACGCUCAUGUGCGAAAGUGUGGGUAGCGAACAGGAUUAGAUACCCUGGUAGUCCACACCGUAAACGCUGUCUACUAGCUGUUUGUGACUUUAAGCCGUGAGUAGCGAAGCUAACGCGAUAAGUAGACCGCCUGGGGAGUACGGCCGCAAGGUUAAAACUCAA
rnacentral:rRNA from 1 species